rnacentral:rRNA from 1 species
CAUGCAAGUCGAGCGAACAGACGAGGAGCUUGCUCCUCUGACGUUAGCGGCGGACGGGUGAGUAGCACGUGGAUAACCUACCUAUAAGACUGGGAUAGCUUCGGGAAACCGGAGCUAAUACCGGAUAAUAUAUUGAACCGCAUGGUCCAAUAGUGAAAGACGGUUUUGCUGUCACUUAUAGAUGGAUCCGCGCCGCAUUAGCUAGUUGGUAAGGUAACGGCUUACCAAGACAACGAUGCGUAGCCGACCUGAGAGGGUGAUCGGCCACACUGGAACUGAGACACGGUCCAGACUCCUACGGGAGGCAGCAGUAGGGAAUCUUCCGCAAUGGGCGAAAGCCUGACGGAGCAACGCCGCGUGAGUGAUGAAGGUCUUCGGAUCGUAAAACUCUGCUACUAGGGAAGAACAAAUGUGUAAGUAACUAUGCACGUCUUGACGGUACCUAAUCAGAAAGCCACGGCUAACUACGUGCCAGCAGCCGCGGUAAUACGUAGGUGGCAAGCGUUAUCCGGAAUUAUUGGGCGUAAAGCGCGCGUAGGUGGUUUUUUAAGUCUGAUAUGAAAGCCCACGGCUCAACCGUGGAGGGUCAUUGGAAACUGGAAAACUUGAGUGCAGAAGAGGAAAGUGGAAUUCCAUGUGUAGCGGUGAAAUGCGCAGAGAUAUGGAGGAACACCAGUGGCGAAGGCGACUUUCUGGUCUGUAACUGACGCUGAUGUGCGAAAGCGUGGAGAUCAAACAGGAUUAGAUACCCUGGUAGUCCACACCGUAAACGAUGAGUGC